rnacentral:rRNA from 1 species
CGGUUAUACCAAUAGGUCGAGUUAUAUUUCUAAGGUAAAAAUGUAGUUAAAUAUUAUGUAUUAGUUUUAUGAUUUUUUAUAAGAAAGUGAAAUUUGUAUAUAAAAAAAUAAACCAAAAAUAACUAAGUAAAUUGAAUCUACGAUAGCUUUGAGGGAAACUGGGAUUUGAUACCCCAUUAUUCUUAGUUGUAAAUGAAUAUAAAGUUUACCAGAGUACUAUGAAUAACUUGUAAAUUUAAAACUCAAAGGGCUUGGCGGUGUUUUAGACCUCUUAGGGGAACCUGUCUCGUAAUCGAUAAUCCGCGCUAUACCUAACCUUUUUUUGCUAUCAGUUUAUACACCGUUGUCAUCAGGUAACUUUUUAAAAAAAUUAAGUUAGCAAUGAAAUUAACUAUAAAUUAAAAUGUCAAAUCAAGGUGCAGCUUAUAAAGAGGGGAUGAUGGGUUACAAUUAAAAUUUAUAAGAUGGAUUAAAUAAUGAAAUUUAUUUAUGAAAGAGGACUUAAAAGUAAAAUGAUAUAUAUAGAUGGUUUGAAUUAGGCUCUGAAAUGUGUACAAAUUGCCC